CAAGGAGUAGGUUUUAAAGAAUUCCAACUUUGGGUGUUGGUGGUGAAGUUUAAAUGUUUCCUCCUCG
rnacentral:tRNA from 1 species